rnacentral:rRNA from 1 species
GUGGGGAAUAUUGGGCAAUGGGGGAAACCCUGACCCAGCGACGCCGCGUGAGGGAAGAAGGCCUUAGGGUCGUAAACCUCUGUUGUGUGGGAAGAAGAGCGUGACGGUACCACACGAGGAAGUCCCGGCUAACUACGUGCCAGCAGCCGCGGUAAUACGUAGGGGACGAGCGUUGUCCGGAUUUACUGGGCGUAAAGGGCGCGUAGGCGGUCAUUUAAGUCAGCUGGGAAAUGGUUUGGCUUAACCGGAUCAUGCGGUUGAAACUGGAUGACUGGAGUGCUGGAGAGGCAAGUGGAAUUCCCAGUGUAGCGGUGAAAUGCGUAGAUAUUGGGAAGAACACCGGUGGCGAAGGCGACUUGCUGGCCAGCAACUGACGCUGAGGCGCGAAAGCCAGGGGAGCAAACGGGAUUAGAUACCCGGGUAGUCC